rnacentral:lncRNA from 1 species
UCUCUUUGGAAUAUUCCUAGUACUUUAAUGUUCAUAGUCUUGGAUGAACAUUAAAGAUCCUUUUGACAUAGUUCCUUGUCCAUGCCUUUAUUUGUUGAUAGAUCCAUGCAGAUGUACUUUUCUGAACCUUUUAUUCAUGUCUUGCAUGUUCUUGAUGAAUCUGGGUUGCUUCUGAACAACCUUCUGAACAGGGUUCUGAACAACCUUCUGAACUGGGUUGCUUCUGAACAGAGUUGCUUCUGAACAACCUUCUGAGCUCUCAUCAGAACGUUCUGAUCAAACUCUCUGAUCAACAUUCUGAACUAACUUUCUGAACUUCAGA